rnacentral:rRNA from 1 species
AGACAUAAAAGUAGCAAUACUUUGGUGGCGACCGGGCGCACGGGUGAGUAACGCGUAUGCAACCUACCAUCAGAGGGGAAUAACCCGGCGAAAGUCGGACUAAUACCGCAUAAAAACAGGGGCACCGCAUGGUGAUAUUUGUUAAAGAAAUUCGCUGAUAGAUGGGCAUGCGUUCCAUUAGGUAGUUGGUGAGGUAAACGGCUCACCAAGCCGACGAUGGAUAGGGGAACUGAGAGGGUUGGUCCCCCCACACUGGUACUGAGACACGGACCAGACUCCUACGGGAGGCAGCAGUGAGGAGUAUUGGUCAAUGGGCGGGAGCCUGAACCAGCCAAGUCGCCGUGAAGGAAGAAGGAUCUAUGGUUCGUAAACUUCUUUUGCAGGGGAAUAAAGUGCAGGACGUGUCCUGUUUUGUAUGUACCCUGAGAAUAAGGAUCGGCUAACUCCGUGCCAGCCGCCGC